rnacentral:lncRNA from 1 species
UAAGCACUUGGAAUGUUGCUGGAAGAGUUCCGGAUGAAAACCUUGAUAUUGAUGAUUGGAUUUCUUCAGAAGAGCCAUCGGAUAUCUUCAUUUUCGGGUCAGUACUUUCUAUCUUCCUUUUCAUAAUCAACCUAGGCACAUACUUUCAGUACUUUCUAUCCCAGAAAGGUAUAGUUAAGUUAAUCAACAGAUUGUGUUAUGGAUGCUAGGAUAGGAUUGUCUUGUAAGGUCAAUGUCUUUUUGUGA